rnacentral:rRNA from 1 species
CCUACGGGUGGCAACAGUGAGGAAUAUUGGUCAAUGGACGCGAGUCUGAACCAGCCAUGCCGCGUGCGGGAGGACGGCCCUACGAGUUGUAAACCGCUUUUGUACGAGGGCAAACGCCGAUACGUGUAUCUCCCUGAAUGUAUCGUACGAAUAAGGAUCGGCUAACUCCGUGCCAGCAGCCGCGGUAAUACGGAGGGUUCAAGCGUUAAUCGGAUUUAUUGGGUUUAAAGGGUGCGUAGGCGGUCGGGUAAGUUAAGGGUGAAAUCCCGGGGCUCAACCUCGGAAUUGCCAUUGAAACUGGCGGGCUGGAGUGUAGUAGCGGUAGGCGGAAUGUGUGGUGUAGCGGUGAAAUGCUUAGAUAUCAUGCAGAACACCGAUUGCGAAGGCAGCUUGCCGGGCUACGACUGACGUUGAGGCACGAAAGCGUGGGGAGCAAACAGGAUUAGAUACCCUUGUAGUC